rnacentral:rRNA from 1 species
AGAGUUUGAUCAUGGCUCAGGACGAACGCUGGCGGCGUGCUUAACACAUGCAAGUCGAACGGUGAACCGGGCUUCGGCCCGGGGAUCAGUGGCGAACGGGUGCGUAACACGUGGGCAACCUGCCCCAGACUCUGGGAUAACUCCGGGAAACCGGGGCUAAUACCGGAUACUCCGCUCGGACGACAUCGUCUGAUCGGGAAAGCUCCGACGGUCUGGGAUGGGCCCGCGGCCUAUCAGCUUGUUGGCGAGGUAACGGCUCACCAAGGCGACGACGGGUAGCUGGUCUGAGAGGACGACCAGCCACACUGGAACUGAGAUACGGUCCAGACUCCUACGGGAGGCAGCAGUGGGGAAUCUUGCACAAUGGGCGAAAGCCUGAUGCAGCGACGCCGCGUGGGGGACGAAGGCUUUCGAGUUGUAAACCCCUUUCGACAGGGAAGAAGCGCAAGUGACGGUACCUUAGAAGAGUCC